CACCUCGGAGCGUCAACUGCUUUCGUACGGGAAGAAUUCUGACGGUACUAAGGAAUCAAGCACUGCUAACUGCGUGCCAGCAGCGCGGUAGUACGGAGGGUGCAAGCGUACUCGGAAUCACUGGGCGUAAGGGCGCGUAGGCGGAUUAUCAAGUCUCUUGUGAAAUCUAAUGGCUUAACCAUUAAACUGCUUGGGAAACUGAUAGUCUAGAGUGAGGGAGAGGCAGAUGGAAUUGGUGGUGUAGGGGUAAAAUCCGUAGAUAUCACCAAGAUACCCAUUGCGAAGGCGAUCUGCUGGAACUCAACUGACGCUAAGGCGCGAAAGCGUGGGGAGCAAACAGGAUUAGAUACCCUGGUAGUCCACGCCCUAAACGAUGUACACUAGUUGUUGGGGUGCUAGUCAUCUCAGUAAUGCCGCUAACGCAUUAAGUGUACCGCCUGGGGAGUACGGUCGCAAGAUUAAAACUCAAAGGAAUAGACGGGGAACCGCACAAGCGGUGGAGCAUGUGGUUUAAUUCGAAGAUACGCGAAGAACCUUACCUGGGCUUGAUAUCCUAAGAACCUUUUAGAGAUAAGAGGGUGCUAGCUUGCUAGAACUUAGAGACAGGUGCUGCACGGCUGUCGUCAGCUCGUGUCGUGAGAUGUUGGGUUAAGUCCCGCAACGAGCGCAACCCACGUAUUUAGUUGCUAACGGUUCGGCCGAGC
rnacentral:rRNA from 1 species